AACGAACGCUGGCGGCAUGCCUAACACAUGCAAGUCGAACGAGACCUUCGGGUCUAGUGGCGCACGGGUGCGUAACGCGUGGGAACCUGCCCUUAGGUUCGGAAUAACUCCCCGAAAGGGGUGCUAAUACCGGAUAAUGUCUUCGGACCAAAGAUUUAUCGCCUUUGGAUGGGCCCGCGUUGGAUUAGCUAGUUGGUAGGGUAAAAGCCUACCAAGGCGACGAUCCAUAGCUGGCCUGAGAGGAUGAUCAGCCACACUGGACUGAGACACGGCCCAGACUCCUACGGGAGGCAGCAGUGGGGAAUAUUGGACAAUGGGCGAAAGCCUGAUCCAGCAAUGCCGCGUGAGUGAUGAAGGCCUUAGGGUUGUAAAGCUCUUUUACCCGGGAUGAUAAUGACAGUACCGGGAGAAUAAGCUCCGGCUAACUCCGUG
rnacentral:rRNA from 1 species